UACAGAGGGUGCGAGCGUUAAUCGGAAUUACUGGGCGUAAAGCGUGCGUAGACGGUUAUUUAAGUCGGGUGUGAAAGCCCCGGGCUCAACCUGGGAACUGCAUUCGAGACUGAAUAGCUAGGGUACGGUAGAGGGAAGCGGAAUUUCCGGUGUAGCGGUGAAAUGCGUAGAUAUCAGGAGGAACACCUGCGGUGUAGACGGCUUACUGGACCAUAACUGACGCUGAGGCACGAAAGCGUGGGUAGCAAACAGG
rnacentral:rRNA from 1 species